GACGUAGGGUGCGAGCGUUGUCCGGAUUUAUUGGGCGUAAAGAGCUCGUAGGCGGCUUGUCGCGUCGAAUGUGAAAUCCCGUGGCUCAACUCCGGGCCUGCAGUCGAUACGGGCUGGCUUGAGUGCGGUAGGGGAGACUGGAAUUCCUGGUGUAGCGGUGAAAUGCGCAGAUAUCAGGAAGAACACCCGUGGCUAAGGCGGUUCUCUAGUACGGUACUGACGCUGAGACGCGAAAGCGUGGGGAGCGAACAGG
rnacentral:rRNA from 1 species